AUGUCAAGGGUUGAGGGGAGGAAGUCGCUGGAGAAGGAGGGAGAGAAGAGGAGGGCGAAGGGAGAUCUAGGAGUGGAAGACUUGACGGAGGGAACCAAGGAAUCGCAGGAAGAUUCGUUGAAUGAGAAGCUAAGGUACAUGAAUCUCAGGGAGGAGGAGGAGGAGGACGUGGUUCUAGAGGAAGAUCUGGAGGAGCUGGAGAAGGAUGCGGAGUUCAUGGCGCUGGCAAGGGUCCAUACAAACAAAAAGUUCAUCCAUGGAGUCUUCUAUGGCAACAUGCGAUCGGCCUGGAAUCUGGAGCAAGAGGUGGAGUUUAGGGCUAUUGAGGACAAUCUGUUUUCUGUACAGAUC
rnacentral:rRNA from 1 species